rnacentral:rRNA from 1 species
AAAUUGAAGAGUUUGAUCAUGGCUCAGAUUGAACGCUGGCGGCAGGCCUAACACAUGCAAGUCGAGCGGAAACGAGUUAUCAGAACCUUCGGGGAACGAUAACGGCGUCGAGCGGCGGACGGGUGAGUAAUGCCUAGGAAAUUGCCCUGAUGUGGGGGAUAACCAUUGGAAACGAUGGCUAAUACCGCAUGAUGCCUACGGGCCAAAGAGGGGGACCUUCGGGCCUCUCGCGUCAGGAUAUGCCUAGGUGGGAUUAGCUAGUUGGUGAGGUAAGGGCUCACCAAGGCGACGAUCCCUAGCUGGUCUGAGAGGAUGAUCAGCCACACUGGAACUGAGACACGGUCCAGACUCCUACGGGAGGCAGCAGUGGGGAAUAUUGCACAAUGGGCGCAAGCCUGAUGCAGCCAUGCCGCGUGU